GUGCACUGCUUUGGUGGCUCACUUGUGAAUGUUCUGCAGCCUGCAGCAGUCGUCAGAAACGGUGACGGUUGCCGCGCUGUUGAUGCUUCAGCUUCAUCACAGUUUCAUCUGACUCCUUUGAGACCUUCAAGCUUCGCUUCACUGUCCGGACUCCGACGCAUGUGCGACACGUCAGUACAAUUUACUCACCUAUCAAGUCCCU